rnacentral:rRNA from 1 species
CGCGUAGGCGGUUAAAUCAGUCAGAUGUGAAAUCCCCGAGCUUAACUUGGGAAUUGCAUUUGAUACUAUGUAGCUAGAGUUCUGUAGAGGGGGGUAGAAUUCCAGGUGUAGCGGUGAAAUGCGUAGAGAUCUGGAGGAAUACCGAUUGCGAAGGCAGCCCCCUGGACAGUGACUGACGCUCAUAUGCGAAAGCGUGGGGAUCAAACAGGAUUCGAUACCCUCGUA